GUACUGAACUUGCCCAGACAUGUUUUGCUGCUUGACCACGCCUUCUACAAGACAAAGGAAGAGCGGGAGAAACAGGAUUUUGCCUAUACUGUCUAUGGAGUUUGCAAGAAAAGCAUCUUGGAUGAGUCUGUGGAAAAAAGGAGAGAGGUUGCUAUCCGUGGCUUAAUGGUGUAUCUCAGAGAAAAGGAGGAGGAUCUCUUCAAAGAGCAGUUGGAUGGAGGGGAUAUUAUCAAUGAAGUGAUGAAGAUUGUCAUAUCCAGAGGUGCCACCAUGUCUGAUCCAACCAGCGCGAGGAUCUUCAUUGAAGGAACAGAAUUUCUGCAAGACUUGGACACUAUUUAAGUCCCUUGGAAAACAUACCUCUAUAUUCGCCAUGAAGAAUACAUGUAGCCGUUUAAUAUGUUUUUUCCAACACCAGCAUCAUUUAAUUUAUGUAUUCUUUUUCACAUGGUGCUUUUUUUUAUUGUAUUCUUUAACAUGCACAGAGUGGAUUGAGGGGAUUGGGCCUCAAAAUAUUUUGGAGGAUUUGACUUGACUUUGAAGCUCCCAAACAUUAAUUUUGAUUAAAGGGGAACUUUGGGUAACUUGGGAACUCAAGUGUGUGUGUGUGUGUGUGUGUGUGUGUGUGUGUGUGUCAGUGAGUGAGUCAGUGAGUGAGUCAGUGAG